rnacentral:lncRNA from 1 species
GCACGAUGGCACUGUCGCCAGUGAAGGGGAGAAAUCGACAUCCUGCGCUGGGGCACUCCCGGGAAGCCGCAUUCAGAGACGCGGCCACCGUGUGGCCACACCGCAGCUCUGCUCCUGCUGCUUCUGCUCCGGCUUCUGUUCCUGCUUCUGCUCCUGCUGCUCCUGCUCCUGCUCCUGUUCCUGCUCCUGUUCCUGCUCCUGCUCCUGUUCCUGUCCUGCUCCUGUUCCUGCUGCUCCUGCUCCUGUUCCUGCUCCUGCUCCUGUUCCUGCUCCUGCUCCUGCUCCUGCUUCUGCUUCUGCUCCUGCUCCUGCUCCUGCUCCUGCUCCUGCUGCUCCUGCUGCUUCUGCUCCUGCUUCUGUUCCUGCUGCUCCUGCUUCUGCUGCUUCUGCUCCUGCUCCUGCUCCUGUUCCUGUUCCUGCUUCUGCUCCUGCUCCUGUUCCUACUCCUGCUCCUGCUCCUGCUCCUGCUCCUGCUCCUGCUCCUGCUCCUGCUUCUGUUCCUGCUCCUGUUCCUGCUUCUGCUCCUGCUCCUGUUCCUGUCCUGCUCCUGUUCCUGCUCCUGUUCCUGCUCCUGUUCCUGUUCCUGUUCCUGCUCCUGCUCCUGCUGGCACAGACGGGGCCCUGCCGAGGCCAGUGGCAGCCACAGACCCGUCAUUGCAAGGGUGUUCCC